rnacentral:rRNA from 1 species
CCUUUGAUCCGCGGAUUUCCGAAUGGGACAACCCGGUACUUUGAAGAAGUAUCAUCCUGCAUUGCAGGAGGCUAACGCAGGGAACUGAAACAUCUUAGUACCUGCAGGAAAAGAAAAUAAACAAUGAUUCCCCCAGUAGUGGCGAGCGAACGGGGAAUAGCCCAAACCAUCCAUGUUACGGCAUGGGUGGGGUUGUAGGACUACGCCGUUGCAUGAAGACAUCAGAGAAGAACUUUCUGGAAAGAAAGACCAUAGAGCAUGACAGUUGCGUAUUCGAAUGUUGUCGAAGCAUAGUAGUAUCCUGAGUAGCGCGGAGCACGAGGAAUUCUGCGUGAAUCUGCCGGGACCAUCCGGUAAGGCUAAAUACUCCCGAGAGACCGAUAGCGAACCAGUACCGUGAGGGAAAGGUGAAAAGCACUUCGAACAGAAGAGUGAAAUAGUUCCUGAAACCGUGCGCCUACAAGCGGUCGGAGCUCGUUAAUGAGUGACGGCGUGCCUUUUGCAUAAUGAACCUACGAGUUACUUUUUCCGGCGAGGUUAAGGAUUUCAGAUCUGCAGCCGAAGCGAAAGCGAGUCUGAACAGGGCGUAUAGUCGGAAGGAGUAGACGCGAAACCAAGUGAUCUACCCUUGGCCAGGUUGAAGGUUAGGUAACACUAACUGGAGGACCGAACCGAUAAGCGUUGAAAAGCUUCCGGAUGAACUGAGGGUGGGGGUGAAAGGCUAAUCAAACUUGGAGAUAGCUCGUACUCCCCGAAAUGCAUUUAGGUGCAGCCUUGCGGGUUACUGAUGUGAGGUAGAGCGACUGAUAAGAUGCGAGGGCUUCACCGCCUAUCAAGUCUUGACAAACUCCGAAUGCGUGUCAGUUCUAUGUCAGGAGUGAGGGCAUGGGUGCUAAGGUCCAUGUCCUAAAGGAGAACAAUCCGGACCAACAGCUAAGGUCCCGAAAUGAAUACUAAGUUGAACUAACGAAGUCAGAUUGCUAAGACAGCUAGGAUGUUGGCUUGGAAGCAGCCAUUCAUUUAAAGAGUGCGUAACAGCUCACUAGUCGAGGAGUUUGGCGUGGAUAAUAAUCGGGCAUAAGUAUUCUACCGAAGCUUUGGGAUGAGAAAUCAUCGGUAGGGGAGCAUUCCACUCGGCGUCGAAGGUGAAGCGCGAGCUUUGCUGGAGCGUGUGGAAAAGCAAAUGUAGGUAUAAGUAACGAUAAAGGGGGCGGGAAACCCCCUCGCCGAAAGACUAAGGUUUCCUGAUCAACGCUAAUCGGAUCAGGGUUAGUCGGGUCCUAAGGCUCAGCCGAACGGCGAUGCCGAUGGCAGAAACGGUUAAUAUUCCGUUACUACCUUCAGGAGUGACGUGGAGACGCAGUAGUGACAGUGCCGCCAUCUGACGGAAUAGAUGGUUGAAGGGUGUAGGAGUCGAUCAUGGCAGGCAAAUCCACCAUGAGAUCCGAACCUGACAGUAUGCCGCGUCCUUCGGGACAAGGCAAUAGUGCGCGUAAGCAUGCUGCCGAGAAAAUCCGCUAAACUUAAUCCUGUAGGUACCCGUACCGCAAACGGACACACGUAGUCGGGUUGAAUAUACUAAGGCGCUUGAGUGAUUCACGGUUAAGGAACUAGGCAAACUGACCCUGUAACUUCGGGAUAAAGGGUCCUCGCUUAACGGCGAGGCGCAGAGAAUAGGUCCAGGCAACUGUUUAACAAAAACACAGGGCUGUGCAAAAUUGAAAGAUGAAGUAUACAGCCUGACACCUGCCCGGUGCUGGAAGGUUAAGAGGAGAUGUCAUCGCAAGAGAAGCAUUGAAUUGAAGCCCCAGUAAACGGCGGCCGUAACUAUAACGGUCCUAAGGUAGCGAAAUUCCUUGUCGGGUAAGUUCCGACCUGCACGAAUCGUGAAACGAGUUGGGCACUGUCUCAACCAGGCGCUCAGUGAAAUUGUAGUGGCGGUGAAGAUGCCGCCUACCCGCAGAAGGACGGAAAGACCCUAUAGACCUUAACUGUAAGCUGUCAUUGUUUCUUCGGUUUUAAUGCUCAGAGUAAGUGGGAGACGCUGAAGACGCCCUUUAGGGGGCGUCCGAGUCAUCAAUGAGACACCACCCUUUGAAACUGGAGGAUCUAACCCUGAGCCGUGAAUCCGGCCAGAGGACCGUGUCAGCCGGUCAGUUUUACUGGGGCGGUAUCCUCCCAAAGAGUAACGGAGGAGCGCGAAGGUGGGCUCAGCCCGGUUGGCAACCGGGUGUCGAGUGCAUGGGCAUAAGCCCGCCUAACUGUGAGACCAACAAGUCGAGCAGAUGCGAAAGCAGGCCCAAGUGAUCCGGCGGUAGAAAGUGGAAUUGCCGUCGCUCAACGGAUAAAAGGUACCUUAGGGAUAACAGGCUGAUCACGCCCAAGAGUUCAUAUCGACGGCGUGGUUUGGCACCUCGAUGUCGGCUCGUCGCAUCCUGGGGCUGGAGAAGGUCCCAAGGGUCCGGCUGUUCGCCGGUUAAAGCGGCACGCGAGCUGGGUUCAGAACGUCGCGAGACAGUUCGGUCCUCUAUCCUCUGUGGGCGUUGGAAAAUUGAGGGGUUCAGACCUUAGUACGAGAGGACCGGGUCUGACGCACCACUGGUGCAUCGGUUGUACUGUCAAGUGCAUGGCCGAGUAGCUAAGUGCGGACGGGAUAAGCGCUGAAAGCAUCUAAGCGCCAAGCCCUUCCCAAGAUGAGUUUUCCCUACAGGUUCGUGGAAGACCACCACGUUGAUAGGUCGCAGGUGUAAGUGCAGCAAUGUAUUGAGCCGAGCGAUACUAAUUACCAAUUGACUUCAUC